rnacentral:lncRNA from 1 species
GCAGGGGGACAGCGGGGACACCAACGACAGCAGGGACAGAGGGACAUUGGGGACACAGGGACAUUGAGGACAGAAGGACAUUGGGGACAUUGGGGACAUUGGGGACACUGGGGACAGAAGGACAUUGGGGACACUGGGGUCACAGCGGGGUCCCGAGCAGUGUCCCCAUCCCCGUGUCCCAGUGAGGGCCGGGGCCACCGCGGAUCCCAAAGGGCUCCAGGACCCCAAAGGAUCCCAAAGGUCCCAGAGACCCCAAAGUGUCCCACAGACCCCCAAAAGAUUCCACAGACCCCAAAAGAUCCCACAGACCCCAAAG